rnacentral:rRNA from 1 species
UUGAACUACCCUUUUUGGAGAGUUUGAUCCUGGCUCAGGACGAACGCUGGCGGCGUGCCUAAUACAUGC